AACGAACGCUGGCGGCAUGCCUAACACAUGCAAGUCGAACGAGACCUUCGGGUCUAGUGGCGCACGGGUGCGUAACGCAUGGGAACCUGCCCUUAGGUUCGGAAUAACUCCCCGAAAGGGGUGCUAAUACCGGAUAAUGUCCUCGGACCAAAGAUUUAUCGCCUUUGGAUGGGCCCGCGUUGGAUUAGCUAGUUGGUAGGGUAAAAGCCUACCAAGGCGACGAUCCAUAGCUGGUCUGAGAGGAUGAUCAGCCACACUGGGACUGAGACACGGCCCAGACUCCUACGGGAGGCAGCAGUGGGGAAUAUUGGACAAUGGGCGAAAGCCUGAUCCAGCAAUGCCGCGUGAGUGAUGAAGGCCUUAGGGUUGUAAAGCUCUUUUACCCGGGAUGAUAAUGACAGUACCGGGAGAAUAAGCUCCGGCUAACUCCGUG
rnacentral:rRNA from 1 species